rnacentral:rRNA from 1 species
GGGCCGUUUCCUGCAGUCGACGAUUCCUACGGGAGGCAGCAGUGGGGAAUAUUGCACAAUGGGCGCAAGCCUGAUGCAGCAAUGCCGCGUGUGUGAAGAAGGCCUUAGGGUUGUAAAGCACUUUCAGACGUGAGGAAAAGUUAAAUCCUAAUACGGUUUAACCCUGACGUUAACGUCAGAAGAAGCACCGGCUAACUCCGUGCCAGCAGCCGCGGUAAUACGGAGGGUGCAAGCGUUAAUCGGAAUUACUGGGCGUAAAGCGCGCGUAGGCGGAUAAUUAAGUCAGAUGUGGAAUCCCUGGGCUCAACCUAGGAACUGCAUUUGAUACUGGUUAUCUAGAGUAUGGUAGAGGUGAGUGGAAUUUCAGGUGUAGCGGUGAAAUGCGUAGAGAUCUGAAGGAACAUCAGUGGCGAAGGCGACUCACUGGGCCAUUACUGACGCUGAGGUGCGAAAGCGUGGGUAGCAAACAGGAUUAGAUACCCUGGUAGUCCACGCCCUAAACGAUGUCAACUAGGUGUAUGGGAGUUUAACUCUUGUGUAUCGAAGCUAACGCGAUAAGUUGACCGCCUGGGGAGUACGGCCGCAAGGCUAAAACUCAAAUGAAUUGACGG